UAGGGGUAAAUUCAGUAAAAAAUCUCCCAUUAACUUCAAUGUAAACCUACAUGUUCAAUUAAAUUCAUAACUUUUUUACCUUUACAAAUUAGAAGCUUUCAUAUUUCAUUCAUUAAAGUACAAAUAUAGCCCCAUUUUUUGCAACCAUCAAAACAUAGGGUCAUGCGGCAUUUUCGGGCCUUCCACAUGGCUUUGUUUACAAACACUGUAGUUUCGCACUUAAUUCCUACAAUGACCCCAUCACUUUUCAAUCCUGUUUUUAAAAAAAAUAAAUGCAUUCAGCAUUAUUUAAUUAUUUUUUUUAACCUCAGAUUUGAUCCAUCUAAUGAAAAAAAUAUUAUUGAAAACUUUAUCUACCAAUCAUUGCAGCACAGGUCUUCAAUUCUAUACUGAAAGCUCUCCCCUAAAUGGGCGGUCCCUGAUGACGUAUAUUUAUUUACUGA
rnacentral:lncRNA from 1 species